rnacentral:rRNA from 1 species
GACGAACGCUGGCGGCGUGCUUAACACAUGCAAGUGGAGCGACGAACCGGGGCUUGCCCCGGGGCAGAGCCGCGAACGGGUGAGUAACACGUGGGUUACCUGCCCUGAUGACCGGGACAACCCGUCGAAAGACGGGCUAAUACCGGAUGUGCCCGCAAGGGGAAAGGAGGCGUAAGCUUCCGCAUCGGGAUGGGCCCGCGGAGCAUUAGCUUGUUGGUGAGGUAAUAGCUCACCAAGGCUUCGANGCUUAGCUGGUCUGAGAGGACGAUCAGCCACACUGGGACUGAGACACGGCCCAGACUCCUACGGGAGGCAGCAGUGGGGAAUCUUGGACAAUGGGCGCAAGCCUGAUCCAGCGAUGCCGCGUGUGUGAAGAAGGCCUGCGGGUUGUAAAGCACUUUC